rnacentral:rRNA from 1 species
GAUGAACGCUAGCGGCAGGCCUAAUACAUGCAAGUCGAGGGGUAACGCGGUAGCAAUACUGGCGACGACCGGCGCACGGGUGCGUAACGCGUAUGCAAUUUGCCCAUAACAAGGGGAUAGCCCGGAGAAAUCCGGAUUAAUACCCUAUAAUAUAUUGAGUAGGCAUCUAUUUAAUAUUAAAGAUUUAUCGGUUAUGGAUGAGCAUGCGUCUGAUUAGCUAGNGGUAAGGUAAUGGCUUACCAAGGCUACGAUCAGUAGGGGGUCUGAGAGGAUGAUCCCCCANACUGGUACUGAGAUACGGACCAGACUCCUACGGGAGCAGCAGUAGGGAAUAUUGGGCAAUGGACGAGAGUCUG